CCUACGGGUGGCAGCAGUGGGGAAUAUUGCACAAUGGGGGAAACCCUGAUGCAGCGACGCCGCGUGAGUAAAGAAGUAUCUCGGUACGUAAAGCUCUAUCAGCAGGGAAGAAAAUGACGGUACCUGACUAAGAAGCCCCGGCUAACUACGUGCCAGCAGCCGCGGUAAUACGUAGGGGGCAAGCGUUAUCCGGAUUUACUGGGUGUAAAGGGAGCGGAGACGUCAGCACAAGUCGGGAGUGAAAUCCCGGGGCUUAACCCCGGAACUGCUUUGGAAACUGUGCGGCAGGAGUGCAGGAGGGGUAAGCGGAAUUCCUAGUGUAGCGGUGAAAUGCGUAGAUAUUAGGAGGACCACCGGUGGCGAAGGCGGCUUACUGGACUGUAACUGACGUUGAGGCUCGAAAGCGUGGGGAGCAAACAGGAUUAGAUACCCGUGUAGUC
rnacentral:rRNA from 1 species